rnacentral:ncRNA from 1 species
UUUACAUCAAUGACAAAGAGAGUAAUUAUUUGUUAGAUCAAAGCGAUCUAGGAAUGGUGAGAGCCUAGAAUUGAGCAAAUAAUGAACCGCACUUUGGAGAUACAUUUCUGAAUUUAGUAGGAAGUGUCGGGGUAUAACCUCGUUAUCAAAUCAAGUGGUUUUACGAAUAGUAAAACAAUCAGAGUGGUACCACGGGAUAUUCAGCUCUCGUCUCUUCU